CCCUCCCAGGGUGGUCUUCAUUCCCUGUGAUUUUCCCAUCUCUGGUGGUCGCUCCUCGAUCCAGCACUUCCCUCCACUCUCCAUUCAGUCUCCCCUGCCUGGAAGAGGAGGGCUCAAGCACCCCUGGGGCAUCUCUUGGCUUGUUCGGGUGUCAGCACCCUGACCUGGGACUAGUGUCCUUACUCUCUGGGAUGCCUUCCUCUGCAGGUCCCAAGACUCCCAAGGCGACCAGAUUCAGUGUCCUCAGUCCUCCUCCUCCUGACCCUACCAACCACAUCACCCUGCUUGAGACCCUCUCUUCCCUCAGUGCUUCUUUCCUGGGUCUUUUCUUCCUCUUACCUUCUACACAGACUUCUUUCUCCCCCAUCGCCCCUAACGUGAGGGCUUCCUGAGGCUCCUAGCCCAGUCUUCGUUCUCCAUCGCGUCCCUAAGGUGUUCCAUCUAUGCUCAGAUUCCUGCUCUGUGCCCAGCACCUCCACACCUGGGGCUCUGGUCCAGGCCUUUUUGAAUAUCUCUUCCUGGACAUCCCCACCUGGAUGUCACACAGCUACCUCAAACCCAACGCAGACAACACAAAACUCGUCCUCUCCAUUUUCAGUCCUCCAUCAGGACCUCCCCAGGGAGCUACCUUCACUCCUGUUGUGGUUCUUACUGAGUCAUCCAGGGGCAGAAAUUUGGGUCUCUCUGGCAAGCCCUCUCCAGCCCCCCAUCCUCCGGAGAGAGUCUUGCCUGUAGGCCAACCUCUCCUAUGCCCUCUGCUCCCUCCCCCAGUUUGGCAAUAACAACUUGUUUGGGUCUCCUGUUCCCAUUUUCUUCCCAGUGCUACCCUGGUUACCAGAGUUACCUUCUUUUUCCUUUUUUGAAAAUCACUCAAGCAUUUAUUUUAAGCAUUCUGAAAAAUUGGUAUGAGAAAUGUUUUCCUUCAACAAGUAUGGAUGCAUAGCUUCACGUGAACAUCAAAGACGUGUAUUUUGGAGUCUGUUAACAUUGUAAGCUCCCUAAGCAGUGAAGGACCAGUCCACCCUCUCCUCUGCAACUUCUUCUAGCACUUAGGGCUUAUGAAAUAUAAUGAUUUCUUGGAGCAAAGAGUAAUUUUACUGACCAAAUAAAGGUAAUCGUCCCACUUCCCACUGAGAAAUAUACACAUAUGGAAUUCAUUAUUCCAAGAGUUCCUACUGGCAGAAAAAAAAUCUAAAUGUAUUCAAAAGCCCUGGAGAAAGGUAUGCCGGAGACAAGGUUGGUUUCUAAGACACACACUCCUGAAAAAAAAGAGAGAGAAGGAUGGACUUAAUUCUUAAUGCUGAUCUACAGGGUGAGAUGUCCAUGUGUAGGAAGUUUUUACAUGAGACCAACUGAUGGAGUGCCUUUCCCACAGCAUAACAUAGUGCUGGCUCAUAUGUUUAUGCAUUCACUCAACCUGUAUUUAAGCAUGUACAUGAUCCAGCUAGAGUUCCUGGAGUUGCUUUUCUAGUAGUGAUAACAACUUCAGCCCAACAGCCCUGACCUCUGGACCCAGACCUGAGACCACAAGGCGCCUACUGGGGUUGGGCUGCUGCCUGUGGCCGUGAGCCACUAAGGAAAUGACCCAUGACCUAGACAUCAUCGACUCCCUGCUCUAAUUCACCAGCACAAACAUCACUUAGAAUGUCAUUCUGAAGAGCUGACAUUGUUGGCUGACCUACCAUGGAAGGGAGGCAUCAGCAACUGCCACGGUGACUUCAUGACAAAUGCCUUCCCUCACUCCUUCUUGCCCCAAGAAUUAGGUUCCUUGAUUUAUUUUCAAAAAUUUUUAUGCAGCAAAAUUAGAAAGUGCACAGUACCUUUGUUACAAAUAUACUUUCUCAUCUAGGCACAGAAUACCAGGAAGCGGCCUUGAAAUUAUUUUCGAAGAUCUAAGGAAAAUAUAUUUUUGUGCAAGUGUACUUGCUACAGUCUCAGUGGUUAUCAAACUUGAGGUGCACCCCAAUCUCCUGGAAGGCUUGUGAAAACACAGAUUGCUGGGCCCCACUCCCAGUUUCUGAUUUAAAGCAAAAGGGGAACCUUCUCCAAUCUUCACAUGAGACGCUGAGGGGCUCCUGGAAGUAAUAAAAGUGUUGGGAAUCCCCACGACUGUCCCCUCCAGAGUUUUUUGCUCUCAAGCUUGUCUAUGUUGAGCUUCCAGCAAUUUGUCAAUUAUAGUUUGUGUUCCUAUCAGUACUGGCUCCAGCUGCAAGCUUCUGGUCCUGGGAUUCUCCUGGUAAGAUAUGGUUCUCUGUAUCCAUCUGUUUCUCUAGUUUUCAGGGAAACAGUUUGCCCUAUGAUGUCAAUUCUCUGGAUCUAAAAAGAGUUGUUGAUUUCCAGUUCGUUUAGCUUUUUUCUUGUGCGAGAAUGAGGGUGAUGACUUCUAAACUCUCUACAUAAUAUCCCAAAGUGCAAAUAACCCAAA